AGGAGAAAAACCAUAUGAACAUCUCAAUAGAUUCAGAGAAAGCUUUCGACAAAAUUCAACACCCAUUUAUGAUAAAACCCCUCCAGAAAGUAGGCAUAGAGGGAACUUUCCUCAACAUAAUAAAGGUCAUAUAUGACAAACCCACAGCCAACAUUGUCCUCAAUGGUGAAAAACUGAAAGCAUUUCCACUAAGAUCAGGAACAAGACAAGGUUGCUCACUCUCACCACUCUUAUUCAACAUAGUUUUGGAAGUUUUAGCCACAGCAAUCAGAAAAGAAAAAGAAAUAAAUGUAAUCCAAAUAGGAAAAGAAGAAAUAAA